ACUGAAGAUGCUGCCAGUUGCUCCUGAGGACAGGGCAAGAAGAAAGGGUGAUUCCCAAGGGACUGAAAGGUGAGUGGCUUCUGGCGUGGAUGAAACGUUGUCUGCCAUAUCAGUCAAUGAAGGAUGUUGCAGUCACCAAGCCAGCAGCCACGGGCAGUUGCCUGGACUGUUCAGCGUGAGGGGACCCAAGAUGGCGAAAAGCAGGAUGCUGGCCCCAGAUAGCUGAUGUGCAAAUCAAAGGAAUGAUUUCAAUGAACCCAGACUCUCGGAUCUUCCCAUACUUAGAAAAGCACUAAAUUCUUUAACUUGAUGUUUGGCUUUUUUUUUUUUUAAGUAAACAGUAGUCUUUUGAUGUUCUGACUACUAAACUUCUAUAUACCCUGGCUUCUCCCUCACCUCUUUGGAGCAGCCCCUCAGAGCAAUCCGAGGCUGCCUUCUGAGCUUAAGUCCUCAGAAAAUUUGCCAAAUAAAACAUGAUGCUCAACUCUUAGGCUGUGCAUUUCUUUUAGUCCAGGUUUCUGAUGACUACGAAGGGACCCAAACAGACUUCUCUCCUUCAUCUGAACUUGAUGAGGACCUGGAGCUUGGUGCCAGCAGAGGCCUCUUGGGCCCGUCCACCUCUUCAGAGAGCCCAGAGGAAUCUGGGUCACUUCCUGCCUCUGGACUCGCCUGUCCGUGGACACUGUGUGUGCUGCCACGUGUUCUCUGUUGUCCACGGUGCUGUUUGGGUUUCUCCCAGGACACUCUUAAGAGGUGAGCCUGCCCAAUCACCCUGUGGCUGAAAAUUGUCAGCUUUUCAGGGCACUUCUCUACUGUUCUUCAUACUAGUUGUUACCUCCCAGCUGCCCCGUAAAUUAGUUCCCUUUUUUCUCCACAGCCUCUCCACCAUUUAUUCUUUCCUCUUUUUUUUUUUUUUUGUAUUGACUUUUUGAUGAUGGCUCUUCAUAUGGAACCGGUUUAUUCCUUUUCAAAUUAAAUUUUCCUGUGUAUGGAUUCACGAUAUUGAGCAUGUUUCAUGGACGUUUUAAACUGUUAACAAGGAAACUAGCAUUUACCAGUUGAAAUUAGUUUCCAAGUCUUUUCCUUUUGCAAAAAAUUAUUUUUGAUUAGUUGUAUGAAAAUUGUUUGACAGCAGGUAUCAUUUACAGUCUAGGAAUGGGCUUUAGGUUCCGGGUGUUGGAAACAGCCACAAGAUGGCAGCACUUCUUCAUGCUCCACUCUGGUACUAUGCUAAUGAAGCCUUAGGGUCAGUUUGACUAUCUGACUCUACCUUAGGUUGAAUAUACCAGCUGGAACCACUGUCAGCUUAUGUCUUAUUACUUUUUUUUUUUUUUUAGUUUUUAUAUUUCUUGUAGUACAUUUGGUUUAUUGUUGUGGAGGUUGUAGGUAUACAGGAUCUCAUUUAGUUGUACACAUAUACAUAUCUGUUCAACUGUUGCCUCUUUUCACAUGUAAGGUGUUACACAGCGUUCUGUUACCCGCUUUCCUAUGUAGCUGUCGGUUCCUUGUUGACAGUCUUAUAUAUCAGUGUGAUACAUCACUCCCAACCUCCUGAUGAAUCCCAUCUUGCCUUCCCCCUUGGUAACCAUGCGCUUGUUUUCUAAGUCUGUGCAUCUCUUUCACUUUCAUAAAUUAGUGGAUUGGUAUCAAUUUUUCCAUUUCACAUACAACUGAUAUAUGAUGUUUGUCUUUUUCUGACUUACCUUAGUACUGUAUCCCAUAUUGUCUCCCAAUUCAUAGGUUACUACAAAUGGCAUUAUUUCUUUUUCAUGGCAGAAUCCU
rnacentral:lncRNA from 1 species